rnacentral:lncRNA from 1 species
GAAAAAAUCACCGGAAACCAGCCAGCCACGCGCCCCCACGCGCCGGCAAUACCCUCGGCGCGUGAGCCCACGUGCCGGCGCGUGAGGGCCUUUCCGGCCACUUUUUCAGUUCGCUCCAGAAGGACAGUUUGGUCGGCCUUCAAUUCCGACACUACCCAUCCUUGUUUCGUUCGAUUCCGACAACUUUCAGUUUUUUAAGCCCACGCGCCGACGCGUGAGGGCCUUUCCGGCCACUUUUUCAGUUCGCUCCAGAAGGACAGUUUUUUUCGGCCUUCAAUUCCGACCCUUCCCAUCCUUGUUUCGUUCGAUUCCGACAACUUUCAGUUUUUUCCGGCGACUUUAUUGAUUUUUCCGGCAGCUACAGUACUUUCCAGCCAGAAUUUCUUCAGGACAGUUUGCUCAACCUUGAAUUCCGAGCCUAUCCGUAUUUUUAUUUUUCAAUUCCGACAACUUUGAAUUUUUCCGGCAGCUACAGUACUUUUUCCGGCGAUACAGUGUUCCAGUUUUCCGGCAGCUCCAGUUUUCAGUUCUCUGUUUCAGUUUCAGCGAGUUUUCAGUUGAUAAUCCAAAGAUGUCUUUGGN